UACGUAGGGUGCGAGCGUUGUCCGGAAUCAUUGGGCGUAAAGCGCACGUAGGCGGUCGGCUAUGUCGGAUGUGAAAGCCUCGGGCUUAACCCGAGAAGGGCAUCCGAAACUGGCCGGCUUGAGUACGGAAGAGGGUCUCGGAAUUCCCGGUGUAGAGGUGAAAUUCGUAGAUAUCGGGAGGAACACCAGUGGCGAAGGCGGAGACCUGGGCCGAUACUGACGCUGAGGUGCGAAAGCGUGGGGAGCAAACAGG
rnacentral:rRNA from 1 species